GACGGAGGGUGCUAGCGGUGUUCGGAAUCACUGGGCGUAAAGGGCGCGUAGGCGGCUUUGGCAGUCGGCUCGUGAAAGCCCGGGGCUCAACCCCGGAGGUGCGGCCGAUACACCAAGGCUGGAGGCCGGAAGAGGAGGGUGGAAUACCCAGUGUAGAGGUGAAAUUCGUAGAUAUUGGGUGGAACACCGGUGGCGAAAGCGGCUCUCUGGUCCGGACCUGACGCUGAGGCGCGAAAGCGUGGGGAGCAAACAGG
rnacentral:rRNA from 1 species